AUAAUACUCCAUAGAUUAGAGACACUGGAAUGUUCUUUAGUCGAAAGUUCUGGCGCCUUAGGAUGGAUCUGCGGUCGAUUAGGUUGUUGUUGGGGUAACGGCCCAACAAGCCUGUGAUCGAUACGGGUUGUGGGAGCAAGAGCCCGGAGAUGGAAUCUGAGACACGAUUCCAGGCCCUACGGGGCGCAGCAGGCGCGAAAACUUUACAAUGCAGGAAACUGUGAUAAGGGAACUCCGAGUGCCCGUAUACGCGGGCUGUCCAGGUGUUUAAAAAUCAUCUGAAGAAAGGGCCGGGCAAGACCGGUGCCAGCCGCCGCGGUAAUACCGGCGGCUCGAGUGGUGGCCACUAUUAUUGGGCUUAAAGCGUCCGUAGCUGGACCGAUAAGUCUCUUGGGAAAUCCGCCGGCUCAACCGGCGGGCGUCUAAGGGAUACUGUUAGUCUAGGGACCGGGAGAGGUGAGAGGUACUCCGGGGGUAGGAGUGAAAUCCUGUAAUCCCCGGGGGACCACCGACGGCGAAGGCAUCUCACCAGAACGGCUCCGACAGUGAGGGACGAAAGCUGGGGGAGCGAACCGGAUUAGAUACCCGGGUAGUCCCAGCCGUAAACUAUGCGCGUUAGGUGU
rnacentral:rRNA from 1 species